rnacentral:misc_RNA from 1 species
UUGAAAUAAACCUGAUAGGUUGUUGCUGGUUCUCUAGGGAGCAUGUGCACGCCUUGUCAUCUUUAUAUCUCCACCUGUGCACUUUUUGUAGACCGUACAGGUCUAUGUUGCUUCAUUUACCCCAAUGUAUGUUAAUAGAAUGUUGUGCCUAUAAAAUAUAUAUA